UACGUAGGUGGCAAGCGUUAUCCGGAUUCACUGGGUGUAAAGGGAGCGUAGACGGCCAUGCAAGCCUGGAGUGAAAGCCCGGGGCCCAACCCCGGGACUGCUCUGGGAACUGUGUGGCUGGAGUGCGGGAGGGGCAGGCGGAAUUCCUGGUGUAGCGGUGAAAUGCGUAGAUAUCAGGAGGAACACCAGUGGCGAAGGCGGCCUGCUGGGCUUUAACUGACGCUGAGGCUCGAAAGCGUGGGGAGCAAACAGG
rnacentral:rRNA from 1 species